rnacentral:rRNA from 1 species
UACGGGGGGAGCAAGCGUUGUUCGGAUUUACUGGGCGUAAAGGGCGCGUAGGCGGCGCAACAAGUCACUUGUGAAAUCUCCGGGCUUAACCCGGAGCGGCCAAGUGAUACUGUCGUGCUAGAGUGCGGAAGGGGCUACUGGAAUUCUCGGUGUAGCGGUGAAAUGCGUAGAUAUCGAGAGGAACACCUGCGGCGAAGGCGGGUCGCUGGGCCGACACUGACGCUGAGGCGCGAAAGCCAGGGGAGCGAACGGG